UCCGUUAUUACAUUCAACGUGAGUCUGUUGCUCUCAAAUUUGCUUCACCCACCAGGGAGUGAGUGACUGAGUGAGAGAGGGAGAGAGAGAGAGAGAGAGAGAGAGAGAAUUAGUGCUGAAGCCAGAGCGGCGCUGUUGCUGUUUUAAGGGCGUCUCUGUGAGAUCAAGGACAUUCUUAGGUCCAUAUACUUUGUGUCACAGUUGUGCACAUUGUCAUGAAAUGGCUUUAGACUGUACAUUCUCUGGUCCAUGUGCCUGUGAAUGCAGGCAUCAGUUGCCGUUCUAAAUUCACCAUUGUUGUUGUGUGUUUGUUUGUGUUAUUGUUUGUUUUUACACCGCUGUUCUCACCGUGUGAGGCACUAGAAAUGUUCACGCCAACGCUGAUCUUGUACUCUCUAGCAAUCCCCCCCCCCUCUCGAGAAAAAUGAGACUUGUGGUCAUCCCAGUUGCGGCGGCAAAACCGAGCUCAAUUUGAGAUCAGCAGUGAUCGCCUUGAUCAGGCGAAGCGCUUUAAGUCGCUUUCCUUGAGUGCGAGUUUGUGGCUUGGCUUGUACACACAGUGGAGACCGAGUGGAAUUGUUUUUAGUGUAUUGAUCAGCGUGGAGCUUCAGCAUGGGUGUUUGACCUUACAACUCGGCAUUGAUCAAUCGUGGUUGUAGAGUCAUGCACCUCUGCCGACUCUCCGGCUCUGUGUACUGCUCCUUUGAAGAGUUUCGGAAGCCCCUUUGAUCACAACAGGUGUGCACGUGGUUGAAGUCAUACACCACUAAUGUGCCUCCCGUUCAGUGAAUCUUAUUCCAUCAUUCAGGUCAUGGGAAACACUGCCUCUUGUCCUCAUUCUAUUACCUGCACCAAGUAGGGGGUUCGGAAUCAGCAAGUUCCUCAGUUUGGAUUCAACUUUCCGCGAAAGGAAGUACAUGAAUGCAUGUGAACUUCUGGAUGAAAUGUCAGAAAAGCGCACGUGAAUAGCCUAUCCAAUAGCUGGAAAAAUUAUCAGUUGGCCGUGCACACUCAUUCUGGGUGCAUUUUUCUCGUUUAAGAAACCCCCCCCCCCUCCCUCCUUUGAAAUCUAGUUUCCAUGUCAGCUUUCAUCCUUAUCUUCCUCAUUCCACAAGGUGCGCCGGCGUUCCACACAAGACUAGAGGGUCAGCAAGGGUGUGUGACUCUAUAAUCCAAGCUGUGCUAGUAGAUCGCUUAAGAUCGAAGUGCACACCAAGCAUUCGAUUGUAGAGUCAUACACCUCCACUGACACUUCUAGUCUAUCUAUCUAUCUAUGUAUCUCGUCAAAUCCGCUCCUGCCACUACUGCUGUUCAUAAUGCCUGCAACCUUCAUCAUCGAACUCACUCAGUUCCCACAGCAUGGGCUAUGAACAUAACCCCUCUGUUAAACCCUUUGGAGAGGAGGAGUAGAGAAUCCUAUUGUGCUGUUUUACUCUAGUUGUAUACAGGGACAAGCCUAGUCGCCGUCAUGUGUAGGUUCACUCUAUUCAAGGUUGGAUUGUCAGCAAAGGUGUGCGACUCUAUAAUCCAAAGCUUGUGGGAGGAAUUCACCUCGCCUGUGACCGAUUGUAGAGUCAUACACCUCUACUGACCUUCCAGUCUCUUUGCUCACAGCUUCCACCAGCUACCGCACACACUAUUUCUCUCUUUCUCUGAGGCAUCGACCCAUUCAAAAGACUCAUGCGAACUCUGCAACUAGAAAGGUCAGUGUCUCCCGUCCCUCAUUGCAUGUCGUUCUAAAAACUAGAUUUGUCAGGUUUUCCUUGUUUAAUUUAUUGCUUUUAUUGGACGAAAGGCAUAUUUCUGUUUAGUUAAUCUGGCUCUAGCAAUGACAGGUUCAACAAUGGCUGCGAUUGAGGUUAAUUAGAUACGGUCACCUGCAGGAGUACCCACAAACGCCUCGAUUCUGUUGUCAUCGUGGAGAAACUGCCUGAAAAUUUGUGGCGGGCAAUGCUACGCGAGUGCAAGAUCUGUUGGACCACUCUUCAAGCGAGUCUGUUCGAAACCCCAUUAAAUCAGGUUGUAAUUGUUUUGUGACCAUGUCACCGACACACAAGUAGUGGUUUAGCAUUGUUCUUAGUUCCAUAUUAUGAAACUAGGCUUUGUGCUGGAUGACUACUCUACAUUCAGAUUUUCGUGCUGCACCAGAUCUAAGAAAGUAGCAUUGAAACCUCGCGGUAUAGCGGGGAGGUGAACAGAUCCUACCAUGAAAAAAUGACGCUUUGAUUUAGAAAAUGAACUCAGCUGAGAUGUUUUCUUGUGAGAAAUGGACCAUUCCUAAAAAAAACAACUGGUUGCUGAUGUGCCCGGAUUUUGCUAA